ACGCGUGAUGGCAUUGCGAUUUAAUUAUACACCCGAGGCGCGCACAGCGCCGUGGACGAGAACCGGAGUGACUGACUG
rnacentral:sRNA from 2 species